UCAGGAUGAACGCUAGCGACAGGCCUAACACAUGCAAGUCAGGGGCAGCACAAGGAGCAAUCUGAGGUGGCGACCGGCGCACGGGUGAGUAACACGUAUGCAACCUGCCUGUAAGCGGGGAAUAACCCGUUGAAAGACGGACUAAUACCGCAUAAUACUAAAUUACUGCAUGGUAAUUUAUUUAAACAUUUAUGGCUUACAGAUGGGCAUGCGCAUGAUUAGCUAGUUGGAGAGGUAACGGCUCCCCAAGGCAACGAUCAUUAGGGGUUCUGAGAGGAAGGUCCCCCCACACUGGUACUGAGACACGGACCAGACUCCUACGGGAGGCAGCAGUGAGGAAUAUUGGUCAAUGGACGAGAGUCUGAACCAGCCAAGUCGCGUGCAGGAAGAAUUGUCCUAUGGAUUGUAAACUGCUUUUGCAGGGGAAUAAAGUGCAUCACGUGUGAUGUUUUGUAUGUACUCUGCGAAUAAGGAUCGGCUAACUCCGUGCCAGCCGCCGC
rnacentral:rRNA from 1 species